CACUUGUAGUUAUUUAUCAUUCAAUGAAUGACUGAUAAAGUAUCUAUUGAUAUUAAUCUAAUCCAAUUAGAAUGCUUGGUACUUUGUAGUUGUACAUAAGCAAAGUAUUGAAAAUCAUAUUUACUCUUUCUAUUAACCAUCGGGGAGAUUCAUCGUAUAUUAUUCCUAGAUUAUUCCAGCAAAUAGCAGAAUCGUGGCUAGGGAACUAUACUAGCGACCUACCCAAUUUAUUGUAGAAAUUUUCGCGAUCAAUGAUUGGACCAUGCAAACUAGAAAUGCUUUUUCUUGGCUAAAGAAAUAG
rnacentral:lncRNA from 1 species